GCGCGGGAAGCGAGCUGAUCCCUUCGGGGUGACGCUCGUGGAACGAGCGGCGGACGGGUGAGUAACACGUGGGCAACCUGCCUGUAAGACCGGAAUAACCCCGGGAAACCGGGGCUAAUGCCGGGUAAUACUUUCUUUCGCAUGAAGGAAAGUUGAAAGAUGGCUUCUUGCUAUCACUUACAGAUGGGCCCGCGGCGCAUUAGCUAGUUGGUGAGGUAACGGCUCACCAAGGCGACGAUGCGUAGCCGACCUGAGAGGGUGAUCGGCCACACUGGGACUGAGACACGGCCCAGACUCCUACGGGAGGCAGCAGUAGGGAAUCUUCCGCAAUGGACGAAAGUCUGACGGAGCAACGCCGCGUGAACGAUGAAGGUCUUCGGAUCGUAAAGUUCUGUUGUUAGGGAAGAACAAGUACCGUGCGAACAGAGCGGUACCUUGACGGUACCUAACGAGGAAGCCCCGGCUAACUACGUGCCAGCAGCCGCGGUAAUACGUAGGGGGCAAGCGUUGUCCGGAAUUAUUGGGCGUAAAGCGCGCGCAGGCGGUUCCUUAAGUCUGAUGUGAAAGCCCACGGCUCAACCGUGGAGGGUCAUUGGAAACUGGGGAACUUGAGGACAGAAGAGGAGAGUGG
rnacentral:rRNA from 1 species